rnacentral:tRNA from 1 species
UCCCUAGUAGCUCAGUUGGUAAAGAAUCUGCCUGCAAUGCAGGAGACCCAGGUUCGAUCCCUGGGUUGGGAA